AGCGAACGCUGGCGGCAGGCCUAACACAUGCAAGUCGAACGAACUCUUCGGAGUUAGUGGCGGACGGGUGAGUAACACGUGGGAACGUGCCUUUAGGUUCGGAAUAACUCAGGGAAACUUGUGCUAAUACCGAAUGUGCCCUUCGGGGGAAAGAUUUAUCGCCUUUAGAGCGGCCCGCGUCUGAUUAGCUAGUUGGUGAGGUAAAGGCUCACCAAGGCGACGAUCAGUAGCUGGUCUGAGAGGAUGAUCAGCCACAUUGGGACUGAGACACGGCCCAAACUCCGACGGGAGGCAGCAGUGGGGAAGCUUGCGCAAUGGGCGAAAGCCUGACGCAGCCAUGCCGCGGGAAUGAUGAAGGUCUUAGGAUUGUAAAAUUCUUUCACCGGGGACGAUAAUGACGGUACCCGGAGAAGAAGCCCCGGCUAACUUCGU
rnacentral:rRNA from 1 species